rnacentral:rRNA from 1 species
CCUACGGGAGGCAGCAGUGAGGAAUAUUGGUCAAUGGGAGAGAUCCUGAACCAGCCAUGCCGCGUGCGGGACGACGGCUCUACGAGUUGUAAACUGCUUUUGUACCGGGAUAAAAUGCUCGACGUGUACGGUUUUGCAUGUAUGGUACGAAUAAGGAUCGGCUAACUCCGUGCCAGCAGCCGCGGUAAUACGGAGGAUGCGAGCGUUAUCCGGAUUCAUUGGGUUUAAAGGGUGCGUAGGUUGUUUCAUAAGUUAGCGGUGAAAUAUCGAUGCUCAACCCCGGUGGUGCCGCUGAUACUGUAAGACUAGAGAUCGGAAGAAGCACGCGGAAUGUGUAGUGUAGCGGUGAAAUGCAUAGAUAUCACACAGAACACCGAUUGCGAAGGCAGCGUGCCAGGCCGGAUCUGACACUGAUGCACGAAAGCGUGGGGAUCGAACAGGAUUAGAUACCCGAGUAGUC